rnacentral:rRNA from 1 species
GACGUAGGGAGCGAGCGUUGUCCGGAUUCAUUGGGCGUAAAGAGCGCGCAGGCGGCUUGGUAAGUCGGAUGUGAAAACCCGGAGCUCAACUCCGGGCGUGCAUCCGAUACUGCCCGGCUAGAGGUAGGUAGGGGAGAUCGGAAUUCCUGGUGUAGCGGUGGAAUGCGCAGAUAUCAGGAGGAACACCGGUGGCGAAGGCGGUUCUCUGGGCAUUCCCUGACGCUGAGGAGCGAAAGUGUGGGGAGCGAACAGG